AUUGAACGCUGGCGGCAUGCUUACACAUGCAAGUCGAACGGUAACAGGUCUUCGGAUGCUGACGAGUGGCGAACGGGUGAGUAAUGCAUCGGAACGUGCCCAGGUCGUGGGGGAUAACGCAGCGAAAGCUGUGCUAAUACCGCAUACGAUCUAUGGAUGAAAGCGGGGGAUCGCAAGACCUCGCGCGAUUGGAGCGGCCGAUGUCAGAUUAGCUAGUUGGUGGGGUAAAAGGCCCACCAAGGCGACGAUCUGUAGCUGGUCUGAGAGGACGACCAGCCACACUGGGACUGAGACACGGCCCAGACUCCUACGGGAGGCAGCAGUGGGGAAUUUUGGACAAUGGGCGCAAGCCUGAUCCAGCAAUGCCGCGUGCAGGAAGAAGGCCUUCGGGUUGUAAACCGCUUUUGUCAGGGAAGAAAUCUUCUGGGCUAAUACCUCGGGAGGAUGACGGUACCUGAAGAAUAAGCACCGGCUAACUACGUG
rnacentral:rRNA from 1 species